CCCAGGUAAGAGGGAGGGUUGGGAUCCCGCUAACAUGUUUAACCCCGCCACAUUAUUUAGGUAUGUGCCUGUCCCAAGUCAGGAGCCUGAAAUUCAGGGGUUGUCGUUUGUUUAUGUGUGACAUAUUUGUUUUUCCUUCAUUUUUUUUAAAAUUUAAAUAAGGUCGUCAGUUUUCUCGUUUGAAUUGUUUUACAUUGACAUAUCGGGGCCUUUUAUAAAUGACUAUGUGGUUUGUGCUUUGCUCAUUGUUGAAGGCCAUACGGUUAUCUAUAGUUGUUAAUGUCUGGUCUUUGUGGACAGUUGUCUCAUUGGCAAUCAUACCACAUCUUCUUUUUUUAUACAUAUACACUUGCAAUGUACGCUCGCCCUGUAACUUCACGGUAGUUACCACAUUUAGAAAAAACUUCUUUCACUGAUUUUCUCGGUAUCUAGGUACUGACAUUGUUUAUCAUCUUAUAAAUAUCGUGUUUCAGUAUUUUUUAUUUGUCUUUGUUAAUUAUUUCUUUUACUGUUUAGCUAUGUGUUUUGCUAUAUUCAUUUGACGUAGCAGGUACUUAUACACUCGGUCAUUGUGCGAUUGUGCUAUGGUAAAUUUUAUAUUAUUGUUUUCCGUUUUUGGUUACCGUCCUUUGUAUAUUGUUUAAUUACAUAUAUUUGUUAUUUUUUUUAUAGUUUAUUUUUGUAAAAACAUCCUUAAUGUCCGUUUGAAUUAAAACGUUCAUAGUGCUUUUUUCAAAAUAAAGGCUUAUAUUUUUUUUUAUUAUUUGUUGUCCUUAAAAAAUUACGGAGUUUCCUUAUUGCACUCUAUUUAUUUUUAUUUUAUCUAAUACAAUUGAUAAUGGUAAUAGAGAAUGUGCCAAAGAAACAACAACCCGAUCAAAUUGCAGAAAACAGCCGAAAGCAAGCAAUGGGUAAUCAACUCAGCGAGAAAACCCCGCAUCCAGAGGCGUGCUUAAGCUGGCCCUUAAACAAAA
rnacentral:lncRNA from 1 species